rnacentral:rRNA from 1 species
CCUACGGGAGACAGCAGUGGGGGAUAUUGCACAAUGGGGGGAACCCUGAUGCAGCGACGCCGCGUGGGUGAAGGAGUGCUUCGGCAUGUAAAGCCCUAUCGGCAGGGAAGAAGCAAGACGGUACCUGACUAAGAAGCACCGACUAACUACGUGCCAGCAGCCGCGGUAAUACGUAGGGGGCGAGCGUUAUCCGGAUUCACUGGGUGUAAAGGGAGCGUAGAGGGACAUGCAAGCCAGGGGUGAAAGCCCGGGGCCCAACCCCGGGACUGCCCUUGGAACUGUGCGGCUAGAGUGCGGGAGGGGCAGGCGGAAUUCGUGGUGUAGCGGUGAAAUGCGUAGAUAUCAGGAGGAACACCGGCGGCGAAGGCGGCCUGCUGGACUGCGACUGACGUUGAGGCUCGAAAGCGUGGGGAGCGAACAGGAUUAGAUACCCUGGUAGUC